GAGCUGAUAGAGACCUGCGCUUUGACGAGUGGCAGCUGUUCUAUGUGGGCAGUUUGCAACUGUCUCUUGCUGGAGCAGAAAGGCUGCAGGUUGGCUUGGAGACAGCACUGCUUGACAGAAGAUACCCUGCUUUCCUAAUGCCCGCAAAAGUAUAAGGCCCAAGAGUAUGAACUUCCUGGAGCUGCUUUGCACUUGAUGCAAUCCUGGCCUCAGUAGAGAAGCCUGUCAAGUGGAGCUGGAGGUCUCGGAUAGAGGAGAACAUGGACACUGUGGUGCCAGCAUUCCUCAGGCUUUGAUCCUUGGACCAGCUUGAUCCUGCAUUCUUACAUUAGUGGGUGAUAGCACUGAACUUCCAGAAGCAGUGGUCUUCAUUUCAUCUGGCAAAUGCUUGUAAAGUGGGUUCUGCCCUUAUAAGUAAAGAACAGAGGAGCCAAAGGUUGGCUUGGAAUACUCAGAGACAGCACUGCUUGACAGAAGAUACCCUGCAAUCCUAAUGUCCUCAAAAGUACAACGCCCAAGAGUAUGAACUUCCUGGAGCUGCUUUGCACUUGAUGCAAUCCUGGUCUCAGUAGAGAGGCCUUGCAAGUGGAGCUGGAGGUCUCGGGUAGAGGAGAACAUGGACUCGGUGGUGCCAGCAUUCCUCAG
rnacentral:lncRNA from 1 species